rnacentral:rRNA from 1 species
UACGGAGGAUGCGAGCGUUAUCCGGAUUUAUUGGGUUUAAAGGGUGCGUAGGCGGAUCGUUAAGUCAGUGGUCAAAUUGAGGGGCUCAACCCCUUCCCGCCAUUGAAACCGGCGAUCUUGAGUGGAAGAGAAGUAUGCGGAAUGCGUGGUGUAGCGGUGAAAUGCGUAGAUAUUAGGAGGAACACCAGUGGCGAAGGCGGCUUGCUGGACUGUAACUGACGUUGAGGCUCGAAAGCGUGGGGAGCAAACAGG